rnacentral:rRNA from 1 species
AGUGAACGCUGGCGGUAGGCCUAACACAUGCAAGUCGAACGGCAGCACAGGAGAGCUUGCUCUCUGGGUGGCGAGUGGCGGACGGGUGAGGAAUACAUCGGAAUCUACCUUUUUCGUGGGGGAUAACGUAGGGAAACUUACGCUAAUACCGCAUACGACCUACGGGUGAAAGUGGGGACGGCAAGGCCUCACGCGAUUAGAUGAGCCGAUGUCCGAUUAGCUAGUUGGCGGGGUAAUGGCCCACCAGGCGACGAUCGGUAGCUGGUCUGAGAGGAUGAUCAGCCACACUGGAACUGAGACACGGUCCAGACUCCUACGGGAGGCAGCAGUGGGGAAUAUUGGACAUGGGCGCAAGCCUGAUCCAGCCAUACCGCGUGGGUGAAGAAGGCCUCGGUUGUAA